rnacentral:rRNA from 1 species
CAAUAGCGUAUAUUAAAGUUGUUGCGGUUAAAAAGCUCGUAGUUGGAUUUCUGCUGAGAACGACCGGUCCGCCCUUUGGGUGUGUAUCUGGCUCUUUCUUGGCAUCUUCUUGGUGAACGUUGCUGCACUUGACUGUGUGGAGCGCUACCCAGGACUUUUACUUUGAGGAAAUUAGAGUGUUUCAAGCAGGCAUACGCCUUGAAUACAUUAGCAUGGAAUAAUAAGAUAGGACCUCGGUUCUAUUUUGUUGGUUUCUAGAGCUGAGGUAAUGAUUAAUAUGGAUAGUUGGGGGCAUUCGUAUUUAACUGUCAGAGGCGAAAUUCUUGGAUUUGUUAAAGACGGACUACUGCGAAAGCAUUUGCCAAGGAUGUUUUCAUUGA